CCAGACUCCUACGGGAGGCAGCAGUGAGGAAUAUUGGUCAAUGGCCGAGAGGCUGAACCAGCCAAGUCGCGUGAGGGAAGACGGCCCUACGGGUUGUAAACCUCUUUUGUCGGGGAGCAAAUUCCGCCACGUGUGGCGGAGUCGAGAGUACCCGAAGAAAAAGCAUCGGCUAACUCCGUGCCAGCAGCCGCGGUAAUACGGAGGAUGCGAGCGUUAUCCGGAUUUAUUGGGUUUAAAGGGUGCGUAGGCGGGCAUUUAAGCCGGCGGUCAAAUGUCGGGGCUCAACCCCGGCCUGCCGUCGGAACUGGGUGCCUUGAGUGGGCGAGAAGUAUGCGGAAUGCGCGGUGUAGCGGUGAAAUGCAUAGAUAUCGCGCAGAACUCCGAUUGCGAAGGCAGCAUGCCGGCUCCACACUGACGCUGAGGCACGAAAGCGUGGGUAUCGAACAGGAUUAGAUACCCUGGUAA
rnacentral:rRNA from 1 species